CUUUCUUUGCUGGCGACCGGCGCACGGGUGAGUAACACGUAUCCAACCUGCCCUUUACUCGGGGAUAGCCUUUCGAAAGAAAGAUUAAUACCCGAUAGUAUAAUGAUUCCGCAUGGUUUCAUUAUUAAAGGAUUCCGGUAAAGGAUGGGGAUGCGUUCCAUUAGGUUGUUGGUGAGGUAACGGCUCACCAAGCCUUCGAUGGAUAGGGGUUCUGAGAGGAAGGUCCCCACAUUGGAACUGAGACACGGUCCAA
rnacentral:rRNA from 1 species